rnacentral:rRNA from 1 species
UACGUAGGGUGCAAGCGUUGUCCGGAAUUAUUGGGCGUAAAGAGCUCGUAGGCGGUCUGUCACGUCGGCUGUGAAAACCCGAGGCUCAACCUCGGGCCUGCAGUCGAUACGGGCAGACUAGAGUUCGGCAGGGGAGACUGGAAUUCCGGGUGUAGCGGUGGAAUGCGUAGAGAUCCGGAAGAACACCGGUGGCGAAGGCGGCCUGCCUGGGCAGUGCUGACACUGGAGGCGCGACGAGCGUGGGGAGCAAACAGG